CCUACGGGUGGCAGCAGUGAGGAAUAUUGGUCAAUGGCCGUAAGGCUGAACCAGCCAAGUCGCGUGAAGGAAGAAGGAGCGAUGGUUUGUAAACUUCUGGUAUAGGGGAAUAAAGGAAGCCACGUGUGGAUAUUUGCAUGUACCCUAUGAAUAAGCAUCGGCUAACGCCGUGCCAGCAGCCGCGGUAAUACGGAGGAUGCGAGCGUUAUCCGGAUUUAUUGGGUUUAAAGGGUGCGUAGAUUGUUUUUUUAGUCAGCGGUGAAAGUUUGUGGCUCAACCAUACAAUUGCCGUUGAAACUGGAAGCCUUGAGUGUGUUUGAGGUAGGCGGAAUGCGUGGUGUCGCGGUGAAAUGCAUAGAUAUCACG
rnacentral:rRNA from 1 species